rnacentral:rRNA from 1 species
AUGGAAGCAAAAAAGCUGUUGCUGAAUGAUUCUCCAGAUAAAAUUGCAUGGGCUCUUAGUAGUAAGGGAAAAUUUACUACUAAAUCUAUCUAUGAAUGGUUGGAAAGAAACUUAUCAGGCCCCAACUAUAAAUGGGUGUGGAAAGCACCUAUUCCGCUGAAGAUUAAAAUCUUCUUAUGGCAACUGUUUUAGAAUGCCGCGCUGACUCGGGAUAACAUGCGUAUUAGGAAAUGGCCUGGCAAUCCUGUGUGUUCUUUUUGUACGGAUAUAGAAACAGCAAAUCACUUGUUCUUUACUUGCCCACUUGCUCGUUCAGUUUGGGGGGGUGCUGGGCAUGACGGCUGGGACUUCUCACUGUCCUCGAUCACUUUGGCAAAGUUUCGCUUGGCUCUAUAA